GGAAGGGAAGGGAAGGGAAGGGAAGGGAAGGGAAGGGAAGGGAAGGGAAGGGAAGGGAAGGAAUCAGCUAUAGAAAGCCUUUUUUUUUUUUCUUUUUCUUUUUUAAUUAGAAAGUUGGAGCAAAGGGAGCAUUUAAGUAUGAAAAACAAGUAAAGCAGAUCUUCAUUAGAGAUGGCUUUGCUCAGUACUAUGAGCCUCCAUUUCCCUGCCGCUGCAGCUGCAUCUCUUUAGAGGACAUCCGUGCCAUUCUGUGCAAUUGCUUCUGGCUGGAGGAUGCUCCAUGUACAUAGAGUUCUUCCCAAGCCAUGAUUUCAGAGGAUGGGAUUUCCCUGCCAAUAGGAAAUCAGCAGAAAAUCUCUCAUCAACUGGAAAAGGUAAUUAAAGAAGAGAAUCAGACAAUUUUAAUGUAUGGAAGAACCAACUUUCCUGGAAUCUAUCUACUAGCAAAAUCGUAGCUUACUAUUGCCUUCACAUCCUGUUCUUGCCAUCAUACGUCAAAACUAGUCACCACCUAUCCACUGCCAUGGUUACCCACAAGUGAACUCAAAUGUGAAGGUGCCAUAAUCACAUCCAUUGCCUACUAUUCCUUGCAUCUCUUCUAUCUGUUGGACUAUUCACUUAGUGACAUUUGAGAGGGGGAAAAGGAUCUUCAGCUCCUUGGUAUGGGCAUGUUUAGGGCUAUCCAUGAGGGUGAAGCAUCUCAUUGAUCCUGGAAAGAGGAAUUAAUUAAGAGUUUCAGAACAUGGACAUGAAAAAAGCAACUAUGUGAGUUUGGAGAUACUGUCAAUAGGAAAAACAAAAAAUUUAAAAACCUUUUUUUUUUUUCCUGCUGUGAGGAACCUUCUGUGUUUUAUUUACACCUUUUAAAUAUACCACAGUCUUUGUAUUUGAAGUCUGCUCUUCCAGCUUAAUCAUUGUAGGUGAGAGAGUAGCAGAGGACUUCAGUUGUCCAUUCAGUUUCAUUUAGGAUUUGUGAAUGAGGAUCUGAGUGACAGAUCACUAUUACUAUAUUGCUAUAUUGCUAUAUAGCAAUAUAAAAAAAAAUAUAGCAACUAUAUUGCAACACUGGAUGCAUGGGAGAUGUCUCCUAGCAUGAACAUCCAGGAGCUAAAGCACACAGAUUAUAUACAUUCAGCAUGUGAAUAUUCAUACAAUUUACACAAAGUUCCUGCUUAUUCCAAGAAUUGCUAUACAUAUUAAAAUCUAAUCUAAUACUACACAUACGCUGUGUUAAUGUUUGUCUCUUGCAAGAGGACUUUGGUGGUCACGGAGUUCCACUGAGAGGUGUUAUUCAGGCAAAAGAUCACAUGUGAUGUAGGCCAGGUCCCAUAUUUGGUCAAGAACUAUUAUGUGUUAUUUACAAAACACAUGGUUGUUGAUUAGGUUUCCAGUU
rnacentral:lncRNA from 1 species